GGCUGGUCUGAGUGCAUGGUGUCUACAACUAAUUGAUCACAACUAGUUACAGAUUUAUUUGUUCCUCCUCCACUUCCACUGCUUCACUUGGCUAGCCUAAA
ensembl:misc_RNA Y_RNA Y RNA